rnacentral:rRNA from 1 species
GACGAACCGAGCGAACGUUAUUCGGAAUCACUGGGCUUAAAGGGCGCGUAGGCGGGCCAUCAAGUCAGGGGUGAAAGCCCCCAGCUCAACUGGGGAAGUGCCUUUGAUACUGGUGGUCUCGAGGGGGAUAGGGGCAUGCGGAACUUCCGGUGGAGCGGUGAAAUGCGUAGAGAUCGGGAGGAACACCUGUGGCGAAGGCGGCCAUCUGGACCAGCACUGACGCUGAGGCACGAAAGCGUGGGGAGCAAACAGG